UGAGUAACACGUAUGGAACCUGCCCGUAGCAGGGGGAUAAGCGGAAGAAAUUCCGUCUAAUACCGCGUAAUAACUCCGAGGGGCAUCUCUUGGGGUUUAAAGGGUAACACCGGCUACGGAUGGCCAUGCGGCGCAUUAGCUAGUUGGCGGGGUAACGGCCCACCAAGGCGACGAUGCGUAGGGGUUCUGAGAGGAAGGUCCCCCACACUGGUACUGAGACACGGACCAGACUCCUACGGGAGGCAGCAGUGAGGAAUAUUGGUCAAUGGGCGCGAGCCUGAACCAGCCAAGUCGCGUGAGGGAAGACGGUCCUAUGGAUUGUAAACCUCUUUUGUCGGGGAGCAAAAGACGCCACGCGUGGCGUUCCGAGAGUACCCGAAGAAAAAGCAUCGGCUAACUCCGUGCCAGCAGCCGCGGUAAUACGGAGGAUGCGAGCGUUAUCCGGAUUUAUUGGGUUUAAAGGGUGCGCAGGCGGAAGAUCAAGUCAGCGGUAAAAUUGAGAGGCUCAACCUCUUCGAGCCGUUGAAACUGGUUUUCUUGAGUGAGCGAGAAGUAUGCGGAAUGCGUGGUGUAGCGGUGAAAUGCAUAGAUAUCACGCAGAACUCCGAUUGCGAAGGCAGCAUACCGGCGCUCAACUGACGCUCAUGCACGAAAGUGUGGGUAUCGAACAGGAUUAGAUACCCUGGUAGUCCACACAGUAAACGAU
rnacentral:rRNA from 1 species